rnacentral:rRNA from 1 species
AGUGAACGCUGGCGGCAGGCCUAACACAUGCAAGUCGAACGGCAGCACAGUAAGAGCUCGCUCCUACGGUUGGCGAGUGGCGGACGGGUGAUGCAUACAUCGCAAUCUACUUUUUCGUGGGGGAUUACGUAGGGCAAUUUAUGCUACCACCGCAUACGAUCUACGGCUGAAAGCAGGGGAUCUUCGCACCCUUCCCGAUUGAUUUAGCCGAUGUCGGAUUAGCUAGUUGGCGGGGUAAAGGCCCACCAAGGCGACGAUCCGUAGCUGGUCUGAGAGGAUGAUCAGCCACACUGGAACUGAGACACGGUCCAGACUCCUACGGGAGGCAGCAGUGGGGAAUAUUGGACAAUGGGCGCAAGCCUGAUCCAGCCAUACCGCGUGGGUGAAGAAGGCCUUCGGGUUGUAAAGCCCUUUUGUUGGGAAAGAAAAGCAGCAGGUUAAUACCCCGCUGUUCUGACGGUACCCAAAGAAUAAGCACCGGCUAACUUCGUG